rnacentral:rRNA from 1 species
UACGAAGGGGGCUAGCGUUGCUCGGAAUGACUGGGCGUAAAGGGCGCGUAGGCGGUUUGUACAGUCAGGUGUGAAAUUCCCGGGCUCAACCUGGGGGCUGCACUUGAUACGUAUGGACUUGAGUGAGGAAGAGGGUCGUGGAAUUCCAGGUGGAGCGGUGAAAUGCGUAGAGAUCUGGAAGAACACCAAAGGCGAAGGCAGCGUCCUGGGAAGCAUCUGACGCUCAUGUGCGAAAGCUAGGGGAGCGAACGGG